rnacentral:rRNA from 1 species
UCCGGAGGGGGCGAGCGUUGUUCGGAAUCCUUGGGCGUAAAGGGCGCGUAGGCGGCCGUCCAAGUCGGGUGUGAAAUCCCUCGGCUCAACCGAGGAACCGCACUCGAUACUGGUCGGCUAGAGUCCGGGAGGGGAUGGUGGAAUUCCCAGUGUAGCGGUGAAAUGCGUAGAUAUUGGGAAGAACACCGGUGGCGAAGGCGGCCAUAUGG